CCCGUUCUAGCAGAAUGGUACGUUUGGAAAAGCAUUUCAAAGUUAGUCAAACAUUUAGAAGUUCAUUCGAUUUGUUAUUUUACAAAGCCAGUCACUCAGAGAUCGUAAAUCUCAGGAUCCUGCAAAUAUUUGUUGUAGAGCCGUCGGGAUGUGUCAAUAGCAUUUCCUGAGCUUCUCACCGGGUAAGCAUUCCUGCUGUUUUGCCAAUCAUUUGUGAGCUUGAUCCAUUCCCUCCUCCAAUCUUUCAGAGCAAAUUCAUUGCCAGUCUCCAAACUUUCUAAUAAAUAUUUGAAAUAUAUGGCUGCUCGGGGACCAUAGUAAUCUCGUAACAGUCCACUCCAGUACUUGUUUCCUAGAACAAAUGCAAGAAAUUAUGACACCAUCAGUGAACAGUAAUACCAGUGUGCUACAUGGAAGAAUGGUGGGAUGUAAAAAUGCAGGGCAAAGGGUGCUAGUAUGGUUGCAACUUAGACAGAUAGGAUCCCAUGCUUAAUUUAAGCUCAACCCAAAUUGGAAAACAAUUAACCAAAGUCUAAUCCAACUUGAUUGGAUUGAAAUCAAGUUAAUUGGAUUGUAUGAUUCAAAUUUUAUUUAUAAUAUUUUUUAAUAACUUUUUAAAAUACAUUUACCCCAAGUUUUAAAUAAUAAAUGUAAUAAAAUUUCAUGAUAAUAAUAAAGAAAUAAAUUUACAUAUCUUUCAAGUAAAAAGUAUAUUAUAAUUAUAAUUUUAUAUAUUUUUAAAGAAUUAAAAAAAAUUAUUAUAUAAGAUAAUAUAUAUUAUAAUUUAUGAAUAUAUUAAUCGGUUCGAAUUGGGCUCGGAUUGUCCCAACUUUCAUCCAGGCUCAACUCAAAUUGAGUUCGGAUCGGAAAAACUUCAACACUACUGAAUUACGCCUCUAGGUGGUAGGCAUGGAUGAGAGGGUACAGGAUGCAGUUAAGAUACUCCCCCGACUUCAAUUAGAUAUUGGGUAAUUAUACUGCAUGCACCUAAUGGGCUAGUCCGAGCUCUAUAGAACUGUAUCUCAAGGAAAAUUGGCAACAAUUGGUACUAUGGCUUAAUGCAUCAUCCUACCAUAAUCCCGAAGAAGACUUGCUUCAUCCUCUGUGUUGUCGAACCACAUCGUAAUUUGAGUCCUCGCGUUCCAUUCAAACUGCAUGUUGGACAACAUCUGUAAAUGGCCAUGUUAAUUCAAAUUUAAUUACAGUGUGCGCUUGACGAUUUCUCACCUGUAUUUCUUGUUGUUCAUCUUGGGCUAGUUGCUUGGCACUUUCUAACCAAGGUCCUAGAAGAAACCCGUCAUGGCAAGCUAAGAGAGUGUCCAUAUCUUCCACAAGUUCUAGAAACUUCUGGCUGUGGCAAGCAGCUCCGCGGACAUCAUUUAGCUGAUAGGCUUCUAUUACCUCUAAGAACAGUUGGUUUGCAUAUUUUGCCAAAGCUUGCCUUGUCAAGUCAACAAGGUCGUACCUGAGUAUACAAUGAAAAGGGCAUAGAUAAAAAAAAUGGAAAAGAAAAAUGAAAGAGAGAUACUAAAAAAGGCAUAUAUAAGAGUGUAAAAUGACAAAACAACAAAGAAAAUGAGCUGCUGAUACAUGUUAGCUGUUCUAAAAUCUACAGAUGCUAACCUGUAAGUGUUACUUCCUAAUAAUUGACCUCCACUUGCAAUAAAAAGUCCCAACGCAUCUUUCACUUCAGAAGUUGAAUACCAUAGAUGAGGUUGCUCGAAGGAAUUAGUUAUUUCCUUUAGGACUGUUCUUCUUGACACUGAUUUUCCAUAGCGGUGGUAACCUCCGGGCAUGGAUAAUUUUGGUGUAGGAAUAAAGGAUGGAUCAAUAUCUGGAAAUGCAACAAUCACAUCUCUGUUUUUGUCCUGUGACCAUGAUAUCACAAAGGUCCAAGAUUUCAAUCAAAAUGUCCAUGCUUAUAUUAAUGGCUAACCAGUUCCUGGUUAUGGAGCUUGAUGGAGGGAAUGCAAACAAAAUACGAGACAUAAUAUGUAUAGUUCUACUAAUCCACCUUCCCAUGCUAUAAGUGGACUGGAUACAACUUAGUAUAUAAAGUAGGACUUGUUAUCAAGUAGGGCCACUUACAUAGGAACCAUCUGUGCAGUUAUAAACUGUAUGAUAUAAUAUGUUCCAGGCAUCUUGUAUUUCUGGAACGGAUUUCCCAUAACGUCUGGUUGAAUACAGAGCAAUCCACACCUGAAAGAAGAGCAAGUAAAAUGAUGUUUUGAACUGAAAAAUCAUGAGGACAAUAAAAAGAAAAGACAUAAGUAUAUGUGCAGAAUUUGGCUAAUAUGUAGAUCCAGAAAACUAGUUUUAUGAAGGCUGAUAGAUUUUUAUUUUUAUUUUUAUUUAUUUAUUUAUUAUUAUUAUUAUUAUUAUUAUUAUUAUAAUUAUUAUUAUUAUUAUUAUUAUUAUUAUUAUUUUUGUUUACCUAUCAAAAUAAUAAUAAUAUAGAAAUUGCCAGAGAAUUUGAAGUAGAGAGUUGAACACACUGAUAAAGUAUGGGUAUCUAGAGAUAGUUCUUAUAAACACAUAGCAGAACAAAAACUUUGGUUUUUAUGGAUGUGUAUAUAUGCAUGUUUCUUUAUGUGUAUUCAACCUGUUUGCAGAGUUUGUAUGGCUGUGAAUAUACAUGUCUCUGUGUGUAUUCAACCUAUUUGCAUGCAAUAUUUAGAUACUAGCAUGGUUGGCCCUGAUUAAUGCUGUCUUGCUUAUGCAUGCACAUGGGGGAAAACCAGCAGAUAUGCCAGUAAAACCGUCACUGGAAACGAGAAUCAAUCGCAAUUCCUAAGGCAUGUUUUCUUUCUUUUAUGAUAGACAGCACCAGGUGUUGCCACAGGCAGUUCACGCUCAAAGCAGAGAUGGCAUAGGAAAGAGUAUGCUACACCACUUAAAAGCCACAGUAACUUGCAUUUUAAAUUUCCAAAAUCUUAAAGCAUUAAGAAAGAAACUUAACAGUACCUUCACAUCAACUUUGCUAUGUUGAAAUGCCAUUUCAGACAUGAGAUCGUAAACAACAGGAUUCUGUUCAAUACCCUCCAUUGACAUCCCAACACCAACCUUCAGAAAAGUAACUAGAUAGAUUAAGAAACACAAAAAGUAACUAGAUAGACUAGGAUACACAAACAAACCAGAUAAUAAAAAUAUCAGUGAAAAAUUAUGCAGAAGUUGUGCUUUGUGCGAGAGAGAGAGAGAGAGAGAGAGAGAGAGAGAGAGAGAGAGAGAGAGAGAGAGAGAGAGAGAGAGAAAUUCAGCAACAAUUGCGCUGGUCCCCAAGUGCUUUAACCAAGGAAAGGGGCAACAAAGGGGCCGGUACAAGGACAUUGAUUAUACAUUAGAUUUUCUAAACAAAGUUUAUGUUCAUGUGUGAACAUAUAUGAGAAUGUUCACUUCUCUAUCUGUUCACUUACUGUGUGGGAGAAGGGAGAACAAUGAAAGAAAAAAAUGUCAGUUCCGAAUACAAGUACACAGCAAAAAGAUACAUAAACAUAUGUAUUUUGGAAAUUGGAAACAGCAAAAUCAGUUGCAAGUAACCUAUGCUAUUGAAAUGGAAUCUUUUUGAAAACACAUCAUACUUGUCAUGGAAGUGUGUUAAUACAUAAUCAUUUCAAUUUCAAGUUCCUUAGUAACACUCAUACUUGUCUAUCAAUGAAUUUAUGUUUUUCCCAACCAUGAUUGGGAGGAACUUACUUAAUUUCUGUCAUUUCUGUCAUUUCUGUCUAAUAUAUUUACAAAUUAAAACCACUGCACUUUCAGCAUAUUUUGCCCGUAGUAGUAUCUAGAUGGUGAGAAUCACAUACUAAGCGUUGCAGUCACUCUCAAUUGUCACAAUCAUGUUGUUUAACAAUGACAUCACAUUGACACGGUGUUGUUACAAAAUCUUAUGGCAUACUAACAAAUGAAUAUAAAAUUUUGAAAAAACAAGAGUUGAAUCAUAAACUUGCCAUUGUUGAGUUUUCACUAGUACGAGCUUCAACUGGACCAGAUGCUACUGCAUCUAAAAUCCCAUACAUCUCAAUAUUCCCAGCAAAAUUGUGCAGCAUGCACCUGUAAAGCAUAACACCAAUAAAUCACAUAAAAAGCGAGAGGAAAAAAAAUGGAAAAAAAAAAGCAGAACUUUCAUGUGGCUUAUGAACUUACAUUUAUUAGAUUCAGUAAUUGAUCAAAAUAUGUACAUGCAUAUAGAAUAAAUAACAAGUUUGAAAAGUGGAUUUCUCCAUGAACCUUGCAUGUAGGUACACAACAACACCUCAGAAUCUGGAGAAUGAGAUCGAACUUCUAUACGUGUUCUUAGGUGGAAAAUAUGCAGUUGUUUUGAUGGUUUCACCUACCUGCUUGAGUUAAAAGGAUAUGGGUUUGAAUGUUGGGCCAUUGGAUUUAUUCUAACUCAAGUAAUUGCAUUACACAGAAAGAACAGCAUUUCUCAUUUGUGAAUUUUAACGACUGCUGUCUUCCUGAUUUCUUUGUACCAUUCUGUCAUCAACCUUGAAGCAUCAAUAUCACACUCAAGCAGAAACCUUGCUAGCUUCAGUUCUUUACGAAGUUUCUUAUUAUUCAUUUGAGAUUAUGUUCACUUUAAGAUCCUAAUAUUUUUUAAGUGCCUUUCUGUCAUUAUUUUCAUAUUAUGAAAUAUAACCUCGAUAUAUAAAGCAGAAUGGAUUCAGAUGGGCUCUUUUAGGCUGAAAAAGGGAAAACAAAAGGACCUAACCAGCUCAAAUCAAAAUGCCAGCUCUGAUUGUGAAUGCAUGAAAACUUGUUGGAUAAUGAAGAAAAACCAGUCUCUGUAGUAUGUUUUGGAAUGAAAGGGCACAAUACACCUAAUGACAGUUUGGAAGUAAAUAGAGGUGAACCAAUAUGUAAGUAAAAAAACCAUUGAAUGCAUUUUGUAGUAAUCAAAGAUGGAUUGUUUUGUAAAUAGAAAAAACUCUCGUCAAAUGGUAGUGAACAUGGAUGCAAUUCACAAGUAUCUGGCAUGCUAGUUCUUGAUCAGCUAAAUGACAUCAUAUUAUUGGCAAUUAGAAAGAGAACUGUAACUUUCCAAAUGUAAGGAACACCAUAGAACUGCUCUGAAGUAAUCCAUAUAGGCUUCACUUCAGCAAAUAGAUCAAGGACAACCAGCCUUCCCAUAGGAACAGAAUGCAGAAGUGCCUGCAAACAAGCACAGGUUACAGUUAAUCCAGGGAACAGCAUAUGCAACAAAGGAUACGGAACUUAACCACAUUAAAGAUUCAAGAUUAGAUCAAAACUGUAACAUAUCAGUGGCAGAAAAACGCCUCAAACAUGAAUUACUAUAAAGUGGAGGUUGGCUUGGGUGUGUCUAUGCAUAUAUAUAGACAAGCUUUUGCAUGUAUAUGUGUACAUCCAUAAGCAAAGGUUAAAACCUUUGUAUUAAAGGAUAGGAAAGUUGUGAAAUGCUGCAGAUGAUGCAGAAAUUGUGAUACCAACAAACGAUUGCAAAAAUCAUGUAAGGAGCAUUGCAUAUGAGUUACCACAAGUCCCUUCAACAUCUAAAAGAAAACCUUUAUGUACAGUAGAGCAUGCAUUAAAUGGGUGCUGGUUAAAAUGAAAGAAGCAUACUUAUAGGCAAAGAUUAAAAUAUUAAAAAUUUAUGAAAUAUCAGUGGUUGGAUGUUACAGAAUUUUGGAAGGAAAUUCCAGAAAUUUUUUUUUAAUGGAAUUGAAAUUGAUCAAAAGCUCAUAGAAAUAUUGGGAAAAAAAAUUCAAAAAUGAUAAAACAAGCAAAUAAUACAUAGGCAAAAGCUGUUUUUUUUUUUAAGAAAACAAUACAUGUAUGAUAAACUUUAUGAUGUUGAACAAUAAUAUGCGGUAUUUGAAAACACAUUUAUUAUUAAAAUGAUCUGUCGAGUUUGGAAGGAUUUAAGUAUAUAAAAGAAAUAAUAAUAUAUGUAUGAUUAUUUUUUGUUUAUAUGUUCAUAAUUUCAUUUACAGGUUUAAGAAGAUUAUCAUGAAGGUUUUUAUAUUUCCAACUAGUGGUUUAAUGGACAUUGAAAAUAAGAUAAUUAAAUUUUUUUUUUUUACUGAAUUUUUAUUUUUAAUAUUUUAUUUUCUACACAAAUAUAAAAUUUUAGGGGAGACAAACUAAGUUGUAUAUAUUUUUUGUCCACUAAUAGUAUUAAAGUGGAAGUUAGCUUGAGGUAACUCCCCUAUUUCUUUUGAUUGGAGGGUAGGGUUCAAGUCCCUCUCCCUUAAAUUUUAAGCACAGCUCAUUUUUCAUUGAUGUGGUGAUAAAAUAACCUAAAUAUCAGUGAUUUAUCGAGAUAAAAUGGAGAAAAUUUGUGAUAUAUUGGCAAUUUUUGGCUGGCAGAAAUUUGGGAGCUGUUUCCAUAUCGAGGCUGACUGAAAUCCAAAAUUUUGCCAAUAUUUAGCCAAAGUUUGGUCUCAAUUUUGUGUGUGAAAACCUAGUCUUUUAUGUAUUAAUAUGAACUCUGAAGAUUUGGAGCAAAGCCAUGGGGAAAUUUCAUUGAGUCUCUCUCCAAGAGAACCAACAUGCUUUUCCAAAUAUGCACACAAUUGAUCCUAAUGAAUAGUUCCUACAUUCUUAUUUUAUUUGUUUUCACCAUACUCUUACUUAUUUUGCUAAGAAAAUUCAUGAUCGAAAAUUUUAAAACCUGACAUUUUCAAUGAUAUUCUUCUACAGGUUUAGGACUUCAAUUAUAGAGAAGAAAAGGGUCUAUAAAUUUCAUUGGCUCUAUUAAGUGCUCCAAUCUUAAACCUCAUUUUUAUCUUCAUCAAAGUUUACUUCAGUUUGAAGUUCUGAACACAAGCUCAAACAAAUUUAACAAAUGAGUGAAGAUUCAAACAUGCUCAUAUAGGGUGAUUAGAAGCAAAAUGAGGGGAGAAGAAAAUGACAAUUGUGGAAUGACCUUCAUUUGUGGAGGCCUCCAGAAUGGAUCAUACGAAAACAGCCAUCCCUACAGUAGAAAACCAGAACAGUUACAAUGUUGGAACACAAUGAAAGUUAAUGCUGACUGAACUCAAGACUAAUGGAUAGACUAUAUAAAAAAAGAUGGUCAAGACCAUGAUGGAGCAGUGACUAUGCAGAUCCAAUUCCAAAUAACUGAGAUUAACAUAAAACCAUAUUGCACAAGCUUCAUUUACUUGGUGUACUAAAUGAAGACAUUUUGUGGUUUUAGGAAAAGAACUUCAUAGAAAUUUAUCCUUCACCUGCAUUAGCCAGAUAGCAUUGCUAUCACCACUCUGCAUUCCUCUAAAUAUUGCUGCACCUAAUGAAGAGAUGUAUUCUGGGUCAUCAACAGGUGGAGUGUUCUCAUCGAAAGUAUCACUGAAAUAGAUUCAGCUAUAAUGGUUAUAAAAUAUGAUAUCACUCUCUGGAAGAAUAUUUUCUUAUUAUAUGCAAAGACAUAAAAGAAGAAAGAAAAAUAUCAGAGGAAAAGAGAAUUGCCCUUUAAUUAAUAUGUAACUUUGAUAUGUGUAUUUCUGUUCAUUUAAGGUGUGCAGCAAGUAGAGAACAGCUUAAUAUCUUUUAUGACUAUAUCAGGAUCUCUGGUUCUAAACCUGAUAGCAUUAUGCCAUUACUUGAAGUUAAGCUAACUGCCAAUACAAUGUAGUAAGCCGAAUCAUACCUUUUUCCAAGCCUAACCAUUUUACUUGCUAUUUAGCUCUUUACAAAUGUCUUGUCAGAGUUGCUCUGACUAUUUCUAACAUUCCGCUGAAAUUUGUAAUUUAAAUCACUAUAGAUGGUCAUAUAGUUACACAAAAAAAUGAGGGCUUAUUAAAUGUUCUACUCAUUUAUUUUCAUUAAUGACUGUUAGACUGGAAGUUUUAGAAUUUCACCCAAAAAAGACUUGAUCCCAACCACUUGGGGUGAACUACAUGAAUCCAGUUUUCUGUUCAAUUCUAUAGAGAGCCAUAUGUGCUACUCAAUAGUUGUCUAUCAUAAUUUUUUAGGAUAGGAAAAUAACAAUGAUGAAUUCACACCAGAAACACAAAACAAAACAACUACAGAGCUAAAUAGUCUCCCUACUGUCAACAAGUGCAAAAAAGAUGAAUAAGCGGAGCAUAAAUCCCCACCUGAACCAUGUAAACAAAGUCUGAAGAAGUACAUCCUUCAUCCCCAAGCUUGAUCACUCCUCAAUUUCAAAGGUUCUCCUACUAUGCCCUUUGCAGGCGAUCCAACAAAUACACAAAGGAACUGACCUCCACAUUGCCUUGCGCACACAACCCAUGAAACACUAACCAAGGAUAACAGCAAAGUCCAUAAUCCAGACGUCCAUUUGCAGUGGAUGGGAUAUGACCAGCAGACUCAUUCAUAUUCCACCUUCUCCUCAUAAAUUGGUCAGUAGUCAGAAUUUUCUACCAAGCUCAUUCCUAAUAAACCAAACAGACUAAGGGCUCUUGAAUUUCAAAUCAUCUUAGCCAGGAAUGAGGAGGCUGCAACCUACACUAGGGGCAAGCAAUAGGUUUUGAUGGAAAAGGAGGCCUUCUUAGCAAUAUUCCAAACUAAUCUAUCCUCUAGUUCACUACGGAAAAAAAGAUUCAGCAGUUGCAGCAGGGAAUCCACCUCAAUCAACUCCCUAUCCAAAAAAGUUCCUUCUAAAUCAGGGAUUCAACCGUUUCUCAUCCCAAAAUCUGCCACCAAAGCCUCCACAUUAGACACAAGAUUGAAGAGACCUGGAAAUCAAUCCUUUAAAGGGUCCUCACCCCUAUCUUGAAAAUCAUUUUCCAUCAAAUUUGAUCCACAUUCUCUUUUGCUCUUAUCCUUUCAACGCCUUUAACUUAAAGCCAAUCACUUUCUUAAGAAUAAUUACUUGAGCUUGAGUAUUUGGGUCUAUAUUCAGUUAGAAAAAUAGAUUGUAUGGCCACAUUUUAAUUUUCUCUCUUUUUUCUUUGGUCUUUUAACGGGAAAGAACUUUCAUGUUAAAAAUAGAUUAGGUACAGAAACUAUAGGGUCAAAGAAUUAGCACUUUUGGAGGAGAAAAGGGCAAGAUUGAAAACAUAUGAGGUCUGAAUAUCUCUCUCCAAAUGCUCUCCUCCUUUUUCACUCCAUAUUUCUUUCUUUAAGAACCACAACCAAGCCACCAGCAAGGGAAGUAUUUGGAUUUGGCUUUAUGGACCAAAUCAUGAUCAUGGUUUGAGACAAUCUCUUGACCUGAUGUCCACCCUCCAUGAACUGAUACCACAGGGUGGACAUUUUUGCAUGCAGAUGCAUUUACUGAUUGAACAUAGAAUGGAAAAUGACAACAAAAUCAGAAUAAACCUGUAGAUACAAAAUGCAUUAACUGAACCAAAAAAGAAAGAAGAAAAUGACAACACAAUCAGAAUAAACCUGAAGAUACAAAAUGCAUUAACUGAACCAAAAAAGAAAGAAGAAAAUGACAAAGAUAAAUAUUGGCCUUUACAAGAGAUCAAGCCACAAUAUGGUGAAUGGAUAACUGAUACAGUCAGCAAUGCUAAAUUAAUCACAACUGUAUCCAAAGUUUAAAAAAAAAUGAUAGAUAAUACCAGCCUCUUUCAACCAGUGAAGACUCAUGGAAAUGGAAGUAAAAGAGAACAGUGUUUAACAAAUGAUUCUAGAACAGGGAGAAUAUCUUACCAGUUAUAUAUAUGUCCAGUCCUUCCAUAUUCUGAUCAAAAAGGUUAUUCCAAAUGAAAAAUAGAAACAAGAAAAUUUUUUAGCAUGAGUUAUACAAGUAUGGUAGCCAACUACAUGCAGAAACAAACUUAAAAGGGGUUCGUGAUGAUCUAGAUGAGUUCACCUUUCAAUUGUUGCUGGAUGAAAGCUUUCCCAAUUUCAAUGAAUAAGGGAUCAGUUGCAUCAAGAAGAUAAGUGCAGCACCAUCUGGGAUUACCCCCAACAGUAAACCUAGGAGGAUGAAGAAAGCAACCAUUUUACUCAAAACGGACCACAAAUAACUACUAAUUAUUUUAAACUUAAAGGAUACCACUCAAUGUGGUUAUCCAGGUGUAGGAAGGGGGGCUUGUAGGUGCGGAGAUGUGGCAGGGAGGUGGUACUGGGAGGGUAUGAUGUCCUCUAAUCAACAUAUUAGACUGAUGUCAAACAUAUGAUUAUCAAGAUUCAAGAAAAAAUAUGUAACAGGUAUAUUGGGGCCAGCAUAAAAAUUCUAAAAUUCCCCUGAGCAUGUACACUUUUUUCCAAGUAAAUUUGUUUUCACAUGUGAAGUUGCCUUUGAAUGGCACCUCAAUAAAUAUUUCCUAAUUUCCAAACCCUGAAAUCAAUUCCCAACCUUCUCUCCCCUCCCCUCACACACCCCCACACCAACUAACACACACACACCCUGCUGAAAAAAGGCACAGGAAAAAAGAAAUGGCAGAAAGAACUUCCAAGUUCAGAACUUGUUCUGAAUGACUGAACCUUCAAAACCCACUGACAUUAACACCAAUUGACAGGAACACUAGGAGAUGUUUCUCCAACUUAGUGUGUCUAACGAAGUAAGAACAAUUAUUUCAUUUUAAAACAAGGUCAAAAACAUUCAUUGCAAUUUAAAUAACAGAAAGCAGUACUCACCAAUUCCCCAAGCGUGUUAUUUUUGCUGAUGGAAAUAUAUAUUUCAAUGCUGCAGGAACAUUUCCAGAGAAGGCUGGAAGGACUGAGAGGCACAUAGGAACAGAAUUAAGAUCUUCAACAAAUAGAGAAUGCUCUCAAAAAAUACAUGAAUG
rnacentral:lncRNA from 1 species